CGCGUAGGCGGACAUGUAAGUUGUGGGUGAAAUCCCGAGGCUUAACCUCGGAGCUGCCUGCAAAAACUGCAUGUCUUGAGGUUUGGAGAGGGAAGUGGAAUUCCAGGUGUAGCGGUGAAAUGCGUAGAUAUCUGGAGGAACACCCGUGGCGAAGGCGGCUUCCUGGCCAUAUCCUGACGCUGAGGUGCGAAAGCUAGGGGAGCGAACGGGAUUAGAUACCCCGGUAGUCCCUAGGCCGUAAACGAUGGAUACUAGGUGUUAGAGGUAUCGACCCCUCUAGUGCCGGAGCUAACGCAUUAAGUAUCCCGCCUGGGGAGUACGACCGCAAGGUUGAA
rnacentral:rRNA from 1 species